GGACUACCCGGGUUUCUAAUCCUGUUUGCUCCCCUUGCUCUCGCGCCUCAGCGUCAGGGAUUAACUAGAAAACCGCUUUCGCCACCGGUGUUCUUCCACAUAUCUACGCAUUUCACCGCUACACGUGGAAUUCCGUUUUCUCCGUCAACCCUCUAGAAAGGGAGUUUCAAAUGCAGCUCCGAAGUUGAGCUUCGGAAUUUCACAUCUGACUUCCCUCUCCGCCUACGCGCCCUUUACGCCCAAUAAUUCCGAUUAAUGCUUGCACUCUCCGUAUUACCGCGGCUGCUGGCAC
rnacentral:rRNA from 1 species